CGGGGGGGAGCAAGCGUUGUUCGGAUUUACUGGGCGUAAAGCGUGCGCAGGCGGUUUAGUAAGACAGGCGUGAAAUCCCCGGGCUCAACCUGGGAACUGCGCUUGUGACUGCUAAGCUAGAGUACGGCAGAGGGGGGUGGAAUUCCACGUGUAGCAGUGAAAUGCGUAGAGAUGUGGAGGAACACCAAUGGCGAAGGCAGCCCCCUGGGUCGAUACUGACGCUCAUGCACGAAAGCGUGGGUAGCAAACAGGAUUAGAUACCCUGGUAGUCCACGCCCUAAACGAUGUCAACUAGGUGUUGGGAGGGUAAAACCUUUUAGUACCGGAGCUAACGCGUGAAGUUGACCGCCUGGGGAGUACGGCCGCAAGGUUA
rnacentral:rRNA from 1 species